rnacentral:rRNA from 1 species
AGCGAACGCUGGCGGCAGGCCUAACACAUGCAAGUCGAACGAUCCUUGGGGAUAGUGGCGGACGGGUGAGUAACACGUGGGAACGUGCCCUUUGGUUCGGAACAACUCAGGGAAACUUGAGCUAAUACCGAAUGUGCCCUUCGGGGGAAAGAUUUAUCGCCAUUGGAGCGGCCCGCGUCUGAUUAGCUAGUUGGUGAGGUAACGGCUCACCAAGGCGACGAUCAGUAGCUGGUCUGAGAGGAUGAUCAGCCACAUUGGGACUGAGACACGGCCCAAACUCCUACGGGAGGCAGCAGUGGGGAAUCUUGCGCAAUGGGCGAAAGCCUGACGCAGCCAUGCUGCGUGAAUGAUGAAGGUCUUAGGAUUGUAAAAUUCUUUCACCGGGGACGAUAAUGACGGUACCCGGAGAAGAAGCUCCGGCUAACUUCGUGCCAGCCGCCGCAGUAACAC